GUUGAUCAAUUAUUACCAUGGCUCAAGAUGGAGGACCACGUGAGUAUGUGAUUAACAUGGACUGGCUGGAACAAGAAAUAGUUAUGGAAGAGCAGCUGGAAAGAGGAAGAGAAGAACAAAGAAAAUGGGAGGAGCAAACGAAAAGAGAGAA